UCAGUAUUUGAUUGAAAAAACUUUUUUUUUGUAAAUAUGGAGUGGAUCUUGGUUUUUAUUAUUGGCUGUCUCGUCGGAUAUUUCAUAUCGAAGAAUACGUAACGCUGAAUUUUAUUUAGCACUCGAAUGUCCAAACAUCUUGAAUUAGUAAGCUUUGCUUUUGCUUUUCGUUAUCUAUGCUUCUGUCCAAAAAUCAUUUCUCUACCGACAGUCGGCUCGAAGAGUACAUUAAGUGUACUCUAAAAUUAACAAAAUUUUCCGUUAAAUUAACGCGGAGACUUUUAUUAAUUAAGAAAUUAUGCAGCGGUUCAUAACAUUCGUUGUUGGAGGAAUUGUAGGUUUUCUCGUUGCCAAGAACACUCGCUGAGAAAACAUGGCGUAUGUUAUCUGCUUUGGGAUGGGGAUGGUUUUUGGGAUGUUCGUUUGCCGACGUUGCGAGCCCUGAUUCGACUAUGAAGUAAUGACCCCUUUAAAAGCGUAGCAUUUUACAUUAUUCAAGAUCUCAAGGGAAUUUCUAUUUAAUAUGGAUAGAGAAUAAACAAGCUGCAACACUU